AUCUGUAGCCAUGUCAUCUUGGCCUGUAAUCACACUAACUCUCACCAGUUAAACAGGGCUGGGCUGUUCAGUUCUUGGAUGGGAGAUCACCUUACCAAAAUCUAUAGUGUUACUGAAG
rnacentral:rRNA from 1 species